rnacentral:rRNA from 1 species
UUCCGGUUGAUCCUGCCGGACCCCACUGCUAUCGGGAUGGGACUAAGACAUGCUAGUUGUGCGCCUCCAAGCCACGGUGGAGGCGCGGCGCACAGCUCAGUAACACGUAGCUAACCUACCCUUGGGACGGAAAUAACCCCGGGAAACUGGGGCUAAUUUCCGAUAGGCGAGGACUCCUGGAAUGGUUCCUCGCCGAAAGGGCUCUCAGACCAUGCUUCUGGGGUGCCGCCCAAGGAUGGGGCUGCGGCCGAUCAGGUUGUUGGUGAGGUAACGGCUCACCAAGCCUAUAACCGGUACGGGCCGUAGGAGCGGGAGCCCGGAGAUGGGCACUGAGACAAGGGCCCAGGCCCUACGGGGCGCAGCAGUCGCGAAACCUCCGCAAUACGCGAAAGCGUGACGGGGCCAUCCCGAGUGCCGUCUGCUGAAGACGGCUUUUCCCCAGUGUAGACAGCUGGGGGAAUAAGGGGAGGGCAAGUCGGGUGUCAGCCGCCGCGGUAAUACCCGCUCCCCGAGUGGUGGGGACGCUUAUUGGGCCUAAAGCAUCCGUAGCCGGCUGGAUAAGUCCCCUGUUAAAUCCAGCGAUUCAAUCGCUGGACUGCGGGGGAUACUGUCCAGCUAGGGGGCGGGAGAGGCCGGCGGUAUUCCCGGGGUAGGGGUGAAAUCUUAUAGUCCCGGGAGGACCACCAGUGGCGAAGGCUGCCGGCUGGAACGCGCCCGACGGUGAGGGAUGAAAGCUGGGGGAGCGAACCGGAUUAGAUACCCGGGUAGUCCCAGCCGUAAACGAUGCGGGCUAGGUGUUGGAGUGGCUACGAGCCACUCCAGUGCCGCAGGGAAGCCGUUAAGCCCGCCGCCUGGGGAGUACGGCCGCAAGGCUGAAACUUAAAGGAAUUGGCGGGGGAGCAC